rnacentral:rRNA from 1 species
AUUGAACGCUGGCGGCAUGCCUUACACAUGCAAGUCGAACGGUAACAGGUUAAGCUGACGAGUGGCGAACGGGUGAGUAAUGUAUCGGAACGUGCCCAGUCGUGGGGGAUAACUGCUCGAAAGAGCAGCUAAUACCGCAUACGACCUGAGGGUGAAAGCGGGGGAUCGCAAGACCUCGCGCGAUUGGAGCGGCCGAUAUCAGAUUAGGUAGUUGGUGAGGUAAAGGCUCACCAAGCCGACGAUCUGUAGCUGGUCUGAGAGGACGACCAGCCACACUGGGACUGAGACACGGCCCAGACUCCUACGGGAGGCAGCAGUGGGGAAUUUUGGACAAUGGGCGCAAGCCUGAUCCAGCCAUGCCGCGUGCGGGAAGAAGGCCUGCGGGUUGUAAACCGCUUUUGUCAGGGAAGAAAAGGUUCUGGCUAAUACCUGGGACUCAUGACGGUACCUGAAGAAUAAGCACCGGCUAACUACGU